rnacentral:rRNA from 1 species
AACGAACGCUGGCGGCAUGCCUAACACAUGCAAGUCGAACGAGACCUUCGGGUCUAGUGGCGCACGGGUGCGUAACGCGUGGGAACCUGCCCUUAGGUUCGGAAUAACUCCCCGAAAGGGGUGCUAAUACCGGAUAAUGUCUUCGGACCAAAGAUUUAUCGCCUUUGGAUGGGCCCGCGUUGGAUUAGCUAGUUGGUAGGGUAAAAGCCUACCAAGGCGACGAUCCAUAGCUGGUCAGAGAGGAUGAUCAGCCACACUGGGACUGAGACACGGCCCAGACUCCUACGGGAAGCAGCAGUGGGGAAUAUUGGACAAUGGGCGAAAGCCUGAUCCAGCAAUGCCGCGUGAGUGAUGAAGGCCUUAGGGUUGUAAAGCUCUUUUACCCGGGAUGAUAAUGACAGUACCGGGAGAAUAAGCUCCGGCUAACUCCGUG